ensembl:lncRNA
CAGCAACGGGCCCCCCAAACCAGGUAAUCCGCAGGUGUGGACCAGGACCUGAUCUCCUCCUAAAAUUUAAAACUGGAGGAGACUGAGAAAAGUUAGUAGUACAUCCCUCAUAUCCCCCAGCACAAUAAUAUAGCAGCGUAACACCUUGGAACUGAGACGGGGGGGUCCGGUGACACUGUGGCCCUACCCGGAGGAGGCCCUGGACAGGGCCCAACAGGCAGGAAAUCAAUCCAACUACAUUGCCAGGCAUCAACCAAAGGGACACCCACCAACCGCAACCCCCCUGAAUGAGGGCAGAGUAUUGCUAGCAGCGUACAGCCCAAUUGCACAAGUGCGCAACAGAGAAACAACAACAAGCCAGUGACUCUUCCCCCAAAAGGCAUUGGAGGGAGGGCAUCCCAGUGGUGACGAGAGCCCACCUGGCAAGACAGCAAGGGUGGACAGUAUCAAGACUACUGGUCACCUUCACGCCCCUGCAUCUUGCGAUCUAAGGUUACGUGUAGAUAAAUGGGAGACCGCUCGUGUGUAUCGCCAGAGGUGUGAGAAUGGUUCCAGCGUGGAAACAACAGAUGACGAGGCGUCAAAAAAGAGGAGAACAUUUGGAGAAGAUCAGGCAGCUGACUGAAGCGAAUGUUGAGCUGAGGGCACAGCUGGCUCUACA